rnacentral:rRNA from 1 species
GAGUUUGAUCCUGGCUCAGAACGAACGCUGGCGGCGUGCUUAACACAUGCAAGUCAGGGAGAAAGUCUCUUCGGGGAUGAUUAAACCGGCGCACGGGUGAGUAACACGUGAGUGACCUGCCUUUUAGACUGGAACAACUUACCGAAAGGUGAGCUAAUGCCGGAUGAGUUAUAUAAGUGCAUGUUUAUAUAGGAAAAGUUGGGGAGACCUGACGCUGAAAGAUGGACUCGCGUCCCAUUAGCUAGUUGGUAGGGUAAUGGCCUACCAAGGCGACGAUGGGUAGCCGGCCUGAGAGGGUGGCCGGCCACACUGGGACUGAGACACGGCCCAGACUCCUACGGGAGGCAGCAGUGGGGAAUUUUGCGCAAUGCUCGUAAGAGUGACGCAGCGACGCCGCGUGAAUGACGAAGGCCUUCGGGUCGUAAAGUUCUUUCGACAGGGAAGAAAAUGCCUAUAAGUAACUGUGUAUGUAUUGACGGUACCUGUAUAAGCAGCCCCGGCUAACUCCGUGCCAGCAGCCGCGGUAAUACGGAGGGGGCGAGCGUUGUUCGGAGUGACUGG